GACGAACGCUGGCGGCGUGCCUAAUACAUGCAAGUAGAACGCACAGUUUAUACCGUAGCUUGCUCCACCAUAGACUGUGAGUUGCGAACGGGUGAGUAACGCGUAGGUAACCUGCCUGGUAGCGGGGGAUAACUAUUGGAAACGAUAGCUAAUACCGCAUAAUAUUAAUUAUUGCAUGAUAAUUAAUUGAAAGGUGCAAUUGCACCACUACCAGAUGGACCUGCGUUGUAUUAGCUAGUAGGUGAGGUAACGGCUCACCUAGGCGACGAUACAUAGCCGACCUGAGAGGGUGAUCGGCCACACUGGGACUGAGACACGGCCCAGACUCCUACGGGAGGCAGCAGUAGGGAAUCUUCGGCAAUGGACGAAAGUCUGACCGAGCAACGCCGCGUGAGUGAAGAAGGGUGUCGGAUCGUAAAGCUCUGUUGUAAGAGAAGAACGGGUGUGAGAGUGGAAAGUUCACACUGUGACGGUAUCUGACCAGAAAGGGACGGCUAACUACGUG
rnacentral:rRNA from 1 species